rnacentral:rRNA from 1 species
GACGAGCGCUGGCGGCGUGCCUAAUACAUGCAAGUAGAACGCUGAAGCGAGGAGCUUGCUCUUCUUGGAUGAGUUGCGAACGGGUGAGUAACGCGUAGGUAACCUGCCUGGUAGCGGGGGAUAACUAUUGGAAACGAUAGCUAAUACCGCAUAAAAUGGAUUAUCGCAUGAUAAUCCAUUGAAAGGUGCAAAUGCAUCACUACCAGAUGGACCUGCGUUGUAUUAGCUAGUUGGUGGGGUAACGGCUCACCAAGGCGACGAUACAUAGCCGACCUGAGAGGGUGAUCGGCCACACUGGGACUGAGACACGGCCCAGACUCCUACGGGAGGCAGCAGUAGGGAAUCUUCGGCAAUGGACGGAAGUCUGACCGAGCAACGCCGCGUGAGUGAAGAAGGUUUUCGGAUCGUAAAGCUCUGUUGUAAGAGAAGAACGAGUGUGAGAGUGGAAAGUUCACACUGUGACGGUAUCUUACCAGAAAGGGACGGCUAACUACGUG